UGGGGGAUAUUGCACAAUGGGCGAAAGCCUGAUGCAGCGACGCCGCGUGGGGGAUGAAGGCUUUCGGGUUGUAAACCUCUUUCGCUAUCGAACAAGGCCCGCUUAGGGUGGGUUGAGGGUAGGUGGAGAAGAAGCGCCGGCUAACUACGUGCCAGCAGCCGCGGUAAGACGUAGGGCGCGAGCUUUGUCCGGAAUUAUUGGGCGUAAAGGGCUUGUAGGCGGCUUGUUGCGCCUGCUGUGAAAACGCGGGGCUUAACUUCGCGCGUGCAGUGGGGACGGGCAGGCUUGAGUGUGGUAGGGGUGACUGGAAUUCCAGGUGUAGCGGUGGAAUGCACAGAUAUCUGGAGGGACACCGAUGGCGAAGGCAGGUCACUGGGCCAUUACUGACGCUGAGGAGCGAAAGCAUGGGUAGCGAACAGG
rnacentral:rRNA from 1 species